AGUUAAAUUAUCUGUCUACACUUCACACUUCUGCUGGUGCUUGUCAUCCUUGGCGCUCCAGUUACUUUUUAUGUUUCAUUUUAGCAAUUUCUCUCUUUUUUGUGACUAAUAAUUGGAGGGAAAACUUGGGUUUAUCUAUUGAAUUUUUUGCUUUGGUUGUUUGCUGAAAUGGGAAAAAUAGUUGAAAAAUUAUGAAAUGGCAUUUAGCUUUUCCCAGUGUUAAUUUUCUAUUGAUAUAUGUGUGUUUAGAUUUUUUAAUCGUUGGUAUAAAGAGUACACGAGCACGACGAACAAACAUGAAUUGUGUGCUGCAUCUAUGUUUUAGCUAUCAGUAGGAAAUUAAGAUUUGAGGAAACUCGUUAACUAUAUAUAAGACUUUAUGAUCCAAUAGAAGUCCGGAUUUGGUGAGUUAUUAUACUUGAACGGUGUAAAAGGCACUCUUUUCAAUUAUCUUAUGGUUUAAUGAUUUGAAAACUUCCCACAUUACUUGCUUCUUGUUGAUUUUUUGCUCCCAUCCCGAUUUCCUUUGCUAUAUGUUUAUUUUUUUGCAGCAAUAAUAUAAUCACUAAUUACUUUUUCAAUUUUCCAUGUUCAUGAAAUAUUUGCUGUUGGUUUAUAUGAUCACAAUGAUGGGACUAGAUUACUCGCUCCAACUAGGGAAACAUUGGUAAUCCAAUUGAAUUUUAAUAGUAUGUGAACAAGAAAACUAUAACGUGUGAACUAUUCUAUCCAUGCUUUUUGAUUUUUUUAUUUCACAAUUGUGAUUUACAUAUAUUGGAAUAAUAAGUGAGUGAUUAACUUAUAUUUUUAACAAUUAUAUCAAUGUGCACAGGUCAGUUGGUCACGUUGAAUUAUUUAGGAGGAUGCAUUCAACAACAAAAUGAUGGAAUAACCAACUUGUUGAGUAGCGAUAUGUAAGAUAUAUCACUUAUUACACAAAUAUAUUUUAUAAUUAAGAUGAUUUAUUUUAACAACCAUUUGAUAUUGUAUGAUAGAAAGAGAUGGUAGACUUGCAAAAAUCACAAGCAGAACUAGAAGAUGAAGCAUCUGUCAUGGACGAAACAGAAAUAUGGGCUCAAGUUCUUGGUAAGUGCAGGGACUAUUUCUAGAAUUGGACUUGCUCCGUGCAAAUCAUACAAUAACAUAAUCACAACUCCUCCUAAAUUUAUGCAAUAGCUCGAAAUUCUUAGAUAACAGGAUAAUGAGAAGGAUAACACUAGCUAAUACAACUUCUCGAACAAUAGGCAUUACUUAUCCAGAGCCUUAUUACACAAAUGGAUAUAAGUUAGCAUACUCCUAUAGGAUUGACCAAUGAUCCCCUUCCACCGCCAGCAUCAAUUGGUGCUACGGUACUAUGAUUAUAUUAUUCAAAUUACAUAGAAAAUAUGAAAAUAUAUCUUUUGUGUUAUAAAUUAAAUAUUUAGGGUUAGGUAUUGACUAUUAGUUACAUGUUAU
rnacentral:lncRNA from 1 species